UACGAAGGGGGCUAGCGUUGCUCGGAAUCACUGGGCGUAAAGCGCACGUAGGCGGCUUUUUAAGUCAGGGGUGAAAUCCUGGAGCUCAACUCCAGAACUGCCUUUGAUACUGAGAAGCUUGAGUCCGGGAGAGGUGAGUGGAACUGCGAGUGUAGAGGUGAAAUUCGUAGAUAUUCGCAAGAACACCAGUGGCGAAGGCGGCUCACUGGCCCGGUACUGACGGCCUGAGGUGCGGAAAG
rnacentral:rRNA from 1 species